ACGAGAUAAAAUUAGGGUUGUUUG
rnacentral:miRNA from 1 species